UUGUUUCUUCUUUCUCUCUUCUGUUCUCUUUGCCUCCUUCUUCUCUUCGUUAAGUGAAAUCUAGAAACUCAAAAAAUAAAUAGUUAUCACAAAAAACUCAUAAGAUACCAAAGUCUUCAUGGGCAGAGCCAAACGCUGUCUCUGCGUCGGCCACCAAAUAAAGUAUGGCGACCGCAUCGGUGAAGACGGUGGAAACAAAUUUCAUCGGCAGAUCUAAAGAAUCAGUGUCAAGAACGACGACGGAGGUGGUAAUGCAAAUGGAGGACCACCAUUGAAGAUGCCUCCGCCGUUCACCACCAAUACAUCUCGAAUUCUCCACCGUCGCAUCUUUGACACUCUGGUCGCCGCAUCUCCGUCUCCGGCCACCAUAUUUCUGUCUCCGGCCACCACAUCUCGGUCUCCGGCCACCACGUACAUCUUUGUUGCCGCCUCUGCGUUUUGUUCUCUGUCGCUAUAUAGAUAUAUACAUGUAUUUUCUGUUUGUAAUGAGCAUAAUUACGAAUAAAAUUAUUUUUAAUUUC